rnacentral:rRNA from 1 species
AGCGAAUAGAUACCCGGGUAGUCCCAGCUGUAAACGAUGCAGACUCGGUGAUGAGUUGGCUACAUGCCAUCUCAGUGCCGCAGGGAAGCCGUUAAGUUUGCCGCCUGGGGAGUACGGUCGCAAGACUGAAACUUAAAGGAAUUGGCGGGGAGCACCACAAGGGUGAAGCCUGCGGUUCAAUUGGUAGUCAACGCCGGAAACUACUUACCGGGGGUCGGACAGCAGUGUGAAGGUCAAGCUGAAGACUUUACCUACGACAAGCUGAGAGGAGGUGCAUGGCCGUCGCCAGCUCGUGCCGUGAGGUGUCCUGUUAAGUACA